GGCUCUCAGUCCCCGCCUCGUGGGGGGUCCCUCCCCCCUCUGCGAUGGGGGUCCUAAGAGCCAGUGGGGGAACAGAGGCUGGCUCUCAGUCCCUGCCUCGCGGGGGGGUGCCUCCCCCACCCUGCGAUGGGGGUACUAACAGCCAGGGGCGGAAGAGGGGAUAGCUCUCAGUCCCCACUCUCGUAGGGGGUGCCUCCCCACCUGCGAUGGGGGUACUAACAGCCAGGGGCGGAAGAGGGGAUAGCUCUCAGUCCCCACUGUCGUGGGGGGUGCCUCCCCCUCCUGUGAUGGGGUUCCUCAGAGCCGGGGGGGAAGAGGGACUGGCUCUCAGUAAUCCCACGUAAGGUACCUGCCGUCGGAAGAUUUGAACUUUCUACUUGGACACCUACCACCCGCAGUCCUCCAGCUCCGGUAGAUUGCAAAUAACCUGCUUUCUUUCUGUUCCUGAGCUGCGUUCGGACCCCUGUCGUAUUGUAAAUCCCACGCAAGGUACCUGCCGUCGGAAGAUUUGAGCUUUCUUCUUGAACACCUCAUACCCACAGUCCUCCAGACAGAAGGACAACAGGUACAAAGUCCUAAGGAUUAUAAAGGUAUGCUGCUUGCCAUCAUCUUAGUGACCAAGGCAGCGAAGCUGUUUCUGUACCUUGGAACAGUCUUCCCUGACAAGCCAGAGAACAGCGAUAAAGCCACCAGCCUUGGGAUCAGGACUGAAAAGGCAAGAGUGAUGGAGAUUUCUCCUGCGCUAAGCCAAGAGAAGGUUUCAGCACCUCAGACAGCUCCCACCGAAGUAGCGGCGCUCCCAGCUGCUUGCAGAUGUGGAAAAGGAAAGCCUCGGUUUGUCUUGAGGUUGUCAGCAGUUGCAAGACACGUAAUAAAAUGCAAUGUGUUCCUAAUUCAUUGCAUAUCCUCAGCUUUAAA
rnacentral:lncRNA from 1 species